UACGAAGGGGGCUAGCGUUGCUCGGAAUCACUGGGCGUAAAGGGUGCGUAGGCGGGUCUUUAAGUCAGGGGUGAAAUCCUGGAGCUCAACUCCAGAACUGCCUUGAUACUGGAGAGCUUGAGUCCGGAAGAGGUGAGUGGAACUCCGAGUGUAGAGGUGAAAUUCGUAGAUAUUCGGAAGAACACCAGUGGCGAAGGGCGGACUCACUGCCGGUAUCGGACGCUGAUGUGCGAAAGCGUGGGGAGCAACAGG
rnacentral:rRNA from 1 species